GAAUCAAUAAAUCGCGUUUAGUGGUCAAUUCAAUGCUAUAUAAUUGUAAGCAGGCUGAAACCGGCCAUUUAAUUGUAUAUAAUUCAUUUUCAUCUCGUGUAGAUCAUCAGUCCAUUCACGCCCAAAUCGACCCCGACAAAAACCAUUCGCCAUACUCACACAAAUCUAUUUAAAUAAGAAGCCAAUCAGAAAUUUAUUGAUGAUGGAAUGAAGACAAAGUUGAACAAGAAGCGGAAGAGGGGUACCUAAAUGUUGUUCGUACAAAAGAACUACAAUUAUAAUUUGUUCGAUCCCUAAUUUCCUUUUCCAUUUCAACAUCACGACUUGACCUGAUUACUCACAGAAAUCGCGGACCCUUCGUCUCUCUCUCUCUCUCGGUGAUGCAGAUUUGAAUCAGUUAUCAAAUUGAAGUUUAAUUCGAUAAUGUAUGCACAUAUGUACAAACAGGUUCUUGCGCAGACAAGUGAAGUAAGAAAAUAAAGUUCAAGCACAAUCAAAUGAAGCGCCAAAACUAAAAAAGCCUCCGGUUUUUAAGCGCCUUAGACUCCGGGCUCGGUCUACGCGUCUUGUGUGCGCCUAGGCGCUUUGACAACAGAGGUAGUACAAUGAUGCAAUCUGCACCAUUUGAUCAAACUAAAAAGAAGGACGUUAUUCAAGAUGUCAAUUAUCGUAUUGGUGAAGAUGAAGAAGCAAAAGGAAUUGUCUUGCAACAACAAAAACUUCCAUGGGAAGGAACAAAUAUUAGGAGCCAAAGCAAACUUAAAUUCAUAGUUUAUUGUUGUUAUAUGAAUUGUUGCUAAAUUUUGUAAUUAACUUCUGGGUCGAGUCUUCUAAAUUCUUCAUGAUAACAACCCUGAGGUUGCUGGAGACAGAAGAGAACGGUCAUGAGCAGGGGCGGA